UACGUAGGGAGCAAGCGUUGUCCGGAAUCAUUGGGCGUAAAGCGCGCGUAGGUGGCCUCAUAAGUCCGCUGUGAAAGUCAAAGGCUCAACCUUUGAAAGCCGGUGGAUACUGUGAGGCUAGAGUACGGAAGAGGCGAGUGGAAUUCCUGGUGUAGCGGUGGAAUGCGCAGAUAUCAGGAGGAACACCAAUAGCGAAGGCAGCUCGCUGGGACGUUACUGACACUGAGGCGCGAAAGCUGGGGGAGCGAACAGG
rnacentral:rRNA from 1 species